UUCAUCUUUGAAAGUUGUUAUCUCAUUGGUCCCUGUCUUUUAUUUCUGUCAUCUUAAAUUCCUUCCUUAUUUUAAAAAAUUCUUGAUGUUGAAUGUUGAAGAAUGUAUCUUAUUGAAGUAGAGUUGAUUAACAGUGUUGUGUUUAAAAAUUUCUUGGUUUUAAGUCUUCACCGGCCUUUGCUUUUCUUGGUUUAAAAAUCCUUAUUGUUCUCAGGAAUCAUACCUUCCGCAGCCUCCAGGCAGUCAGGCCGCCCUCAGCCCCACACAGCUGCUCUUCUAGGAUUGUCAGCAACCCCACUUUAAAGGCACCCAGAAGAGACCAGAAAGGAUGUGUUGUGUCUGAGCAGAGGGUUCCAGACAAACCAGGUAUGUCAAGGCUAAAUGCUGAAGUACACAGCAGGGGGGUGAAGCAGUGACCUUAAAGAUCAAGCCACUGCCUUGGGGACAGUGUCACUUAAUAAAACACAGGUGACCCACCUGAUGUGAGUGUUA
rnacentral:lncRNA from 1 species